GACGAACGCUGGCGGCAUGCCUAAUACAUGCAAGUCGAGCGAACAGAUGAAGUGCUUGCACUUCUGACGUUAGCGGCGAACGGGUGAGUAACACGUAAGGAAUCUACCUAUAAGCGGGGGAUAACAUUCGGAAACGGGUGCUAAUACCGCAUAAUAUCUUCUUCCGCAUGGAAGAAGAUUGAAAGACGGCUCUGCUGUCACUUAUAGAUGACCUUGCGGUGCAUUAGUUAGUUGGUGGGGUAAUGGCCUACCAAGACAAUGAUGCAUAGCCGAACUGGGAGGGUGAUCGGCCACAUUGGGACUGUGACACGGCCCAAACUCCUACGGGAGGCAGCAGUAGGGAAUCUUCCGCAAUGGGCGAAAGCCUGACGGAGCAAUGCCGCGUGAGUGAAGAAGGCCUUCGGGUCGUAAAACUCUGUUAUAAGAGAAGAACAAAUUGUAGAGUAACUGCUACAGUCUUGACGGUAUCUUAUCAGAAAGCCACGGCUAACUACGUGCCAGCAGCCGCAGUAA
rnacentral:rRNA from 1 species